GUCGCUUCUUGGGCUUUUGGCUAAGAUCAAGUGUAGUAUCUGUUCUUAGCAGUUUAAUAUCUGAUACGUCCUCUAUCUGCGAACAACAAUAUUACAUGGAUUUUGAGAACCAGGAGAUGGAAUAGGAGCUUGCUCUGUCCACUGCACACAUCGACCUGGUAUUGCAGUACAUCCAGAAACGGUGCACCAAAA